GUUAAGGCAAAUCACAUUACACCAUUAAAUAAUUCAUAUGACCGUCUUUCAAAAUUCCGGCUAGAUAGAUACACUUCCUCCACCGUUCAGAGCCAUUAACACCUUAAUCAGAUCAAAAACCCCAACCUGGCGACUCUCUUCAACUUCCCCAUCUCCAUCUAUAUAACCCUUUGGCCACUUACGAAGCUCAAGUAUUCUCAAAACCUAUAUGAAAAUACCUACCGCAGCUAUGGCUGGACAAACUCCAACUCAAAUGCACGAAACCCAGUCGAGGAGUGUUUAAGAAGAGUUAGAGUUUCUAUUAUGAUCAGAGUACGCAAAUCUCUGUCUAAAUCGGCCGUUUAGAUCCCUGCAACUGAAUCGCCACUGCCGAAGAGACGACGUAGCAGAAGAUGAAAGAUGUUUUUUCGUUCGAGAACUUUCGUAUUGAAUCUCUUCAUAAACUCUUGGAAGCAGAUGUAUAUUGAAGCUCCGGAUUGAAAUGACAAAGCAAAAUCUGCACAAAUAUUAGCCACAGACCUGAAAGUUUUUGCGGCUUUCAACUAACUUUACAAAGAGAUCACUCAGCUUCUGACUCUAGAGAAUUUUAGAGAAAACGAGAAAUUGUUAAAAUAUGGUGAUACAAAAUCAGCCAGGAAUAUAAUGUAUACUGAGUUGCAGAAGCUGAUCGAGGGAAAUCCUUUGUAUCAUGUGAAGCUUCCCCUUUCCCAGUUUCAAGGCUUCCCAGCUCAGAACUUUGAUCAAUCAAAGGUUGUAGGCCUGGGCAUUUUACCCGGACCCGAUAUUGCUACUUUUUGAAGGACCAAAUAAGUCAAAGUUGGGUGCACAAGGCAGGAAGCAACUGUGAUUAAUAUAGAUACAGAACCAAAUAUUGUGUCAAGUUAAAUCCUGGAUAAAGCAAUUCUAUUUUUUUCAUGACUUCACCAACUUAACAUCUAACACUGAUUCCUUAUUCAUUUGAGCUAGGAUUAGUUUAUCACUGCAACACUAGCGAUUCCUAUGUAAUUUUAUUACCAACAACGAGCUAGCGUAUGCCUAUACUGAUAGCACACACUGGGAUGUCAAGACCAAAUUCCCAGUAACAUUACUUCAUGAGUCAAUCGU